AGAAGGGUCUGGGCUCGAGCCUGCCUGGAGCCGCCGCCGGUGCAGAUCUUGGUGGUAGUAGCAAAUACUCCAGCGAGGCCCUGGAGGACUGAUGUGGAGAAGGGUUUCGUGUGAACAGCCGUUGCACACGAGUCAGUCGAUCCUAAGCCCUAGGAGAAAUCCGACGCCUACGGCGACGGGAUUUUUGAAAAUUUAAAUGACCCGUUGAUCGGGCGAAAGGGAAUCCGGUUCCUAUUCCGGAACCCGGCAGCGGAACCGCUGUUUGUCGGGCCCUCACAAGGGGUUCGUCAGGGUAACCUAAAAGGGCCCGGAGACGCCGUCGGGAGCCCCGGAAAGAGUUUUCUUUUCUGCAUGAGCGUUCGAGUUCCCUGGAAUCCUCUCGCAGGGAGAUAGGGUUUGGAACGCGAAGAGCACCGCAGUUGCGGCGGUGCCCGGGAAUUCCCGACGGACCUUGAAAAUCCGGGAGAGGGCCACGUGGAGGUGUCGCGCCGGCUCGUACCCAUAUCCGCAGCAGGUCUCCAAGGUGAAGAGCCUCUAGUCGAUAGAAUAAUGUAGGUAAGGGAAGUCGGCAAAUCGGAUCCGUAACUUCGGG
rnacentral:rRNA from 1 species